CAGGACACGGUAAGGAUUGACGGACUGAAGGCUCUUUCUCGAUUCCGUGGAAAGUGGUGCAUGGCGUUUUGGUGUGGAUCGAUCCGUCUGGUUAAUUCCGUUAACGAACGAGACCUCGGCACUCCGAAUAGCGCGGCGGACGUCGCGGGCCUCCGGGGCCGUCUUCCGCACGAGCUUCUUAGAGGGGACCGUCCCCCGCCGGGGAAGGAGGUGCGAGGCAACGACAGGUCUGUGAUGCCCUUAGAUGUUCUGGGCCGCACGCGCAUUACACUGACGCGUCCAACGGGUGACUCCCGACCCGAAGGGGCCGGGGAAUCCGCAAGGCGCGUCGUGAUGGGGAUUGAACGUUGCAAUUGUUGUUCACGAACGAGGAAUUCCUAGUAGGCGCGGGUCAUCAACCCGCGCCGAUUACGUCCCUGC
rnacentral:rRNA from 1 species